rnacentral:tRNA from 6 species
GCGGAAGUAGUUCAGUGGUAGAAUACAACCUUGCCAAGGUUGGGGUCGCGGGUUCGAAUCCCGUCUUCCGCUUCA